rnacentral:lncRNA from 1 species
CCUCACUGUUUCGGUAUUCAAUCCGCGGUACGUUUUGAAGUUAAAGAAACGUUUUCAUUGUUUUACAUAACCCCCUCCCCGGCUUAUCCAUUGCCGUCCUGAGGAGGGGCCUUCUCGCCGGCGACGGGCGAGGAGGCGAUGGACCGACGACUGCCCGACGACGGCGCUCGGAGGCGACGGGCCGGCGACGGCGCGCGGAGGCGGAGAGGGCCCUGAAGGGCUGCAGAUCCAGCGGCGGGGCUCCUGAUCCAAUCGGGAGCAGGACGACACGGCGAGCACAGGAAGUGCACGGGCCGUGAGAGGAUGAGCAGGAGGGGAGUCGCGGCAGGUCACAAGGUCAUCCAACGCGACGGCGCAUAGUGGAGGCCGGAGGCGACGCUCCGCGCUCCUUAGAUGGAGUGAAGAGAAGGAAGGGUCAGCCACAGGAGCAGCAGCAGGGUGAGUUCAGAUUUCUCCAUUGACCUGAGAUCGAUUAGUUGCUAGCAUGCAGUGUGCACCUUCUUCUUACUGUACAUACAAUUGAAGACUGAUUUAUUUUCCCUCUUCUGAUUUUGACCUCAACAUAUGUACAAUAUUGCAACCGUGUUUUACUGAAGAACUAUAUGCAGUUGUUGAUUCAGUUAGAUUUUUUCCUUAGAAACAAUAUAGCUAUAUAUUUUAAAAAAGAAUGUUUUACCGGAACAAGGUCCUCAGAUUGUGAUGCACACUGGCCAUUAAUUUCUACAACUUAGGCUUUCCUUGAACAAAACUAGGGGAAUUAGGCGGGAGUCACCUGUUAUCGAUCAGUUAGGAGGAUACUCAGCUUCCAUGCUCCCAUCCAAUUUGGAGGAAUGGAGGGUUCUGAAGCUUCCUAUUUUCCACGAUAUGCAAAAUCCUUGCAGACGGUAGUCUAGGAAAGCAGCCGGAUCAGUCUUAUUACAUGUGGUUUGAAAUUUGCCCGAUUAUAUGUUAUCUGAACAAGACGCUUCUCUUUUCUCAAGAAAUAAAAUAAAAUAAAAUAAGACACUUCUCUGAUAAUUACAUGCUUGCACCGUGGAGUUUACAUCCUUUGUGGUGUACCUGUGUUCUGAAUGUCAUGUUUGCAUGCUGAUUCAACCAGGUUUGGGCAUGCACAUGAAUAAAAUAUGAGACUAGGAUCAGCGAUAGACGUGUGCACUUAUUACAC